CCGGAGAGGGAGCCUGAGAGACGGCUACCACAUCUAAGGAAGGCAGCAGGCGCGUAAAUUACCCAAUCCUGAUUCAGGGAGGUAGUGACAAGAAAUAUAAACCCGGGGAAUUCUAUUCUUACGGGAUUUAAAUGAGAACAAUUUAAAUCACUUAGCGAGGAACAAUUGGGGGGCAAGUCUGGUGCCAGCAGCCGCGGUAAUUCCAGCUCCAAUAGCGUAUAUUAAAGUUGUUGCAGUUAAAAAGCUCGUAGUUGAAUUUCUGGUCAGUUGUAGUCUUGGCUUCGGUCGGGCUAUGGCUGGUCAUCCGUUUGCAAGCUGCACUCGGCCUUCACUGGUUCGGUGUAGUGAGCUGUCAUUUUACUUUGAAAAAAUUAGAGUGUUUCAGGCAGGCUUUUGCCCGAAUACAUUAGCAUGGAAUAAUGGAAUUGGACUUAGGUUCAUUUGGUUGGUUAUUGGAUCUGAGUAAUGGUUAAUAGGGACAGUUGGGGGCAUUAGUAUUUAAUUGUCAGAGGUGAAAUUCUUGGAUUUAUUAAAGACUAACUUAUGCGAAAGCAUUUGCCAAGGAUGUUUUCAUUAAUCAA
rnacentral:rRNA from 1 species